UGAACUGAGUUGCUGCUUCGUCAUCUUGGUGCUUUUUGAAUGGCCUUCAUCAGCACAGCAAGAAUAACCUUGCUGUGUCUCUCCUCAUGUCACAGCCAAAUAUGACUUUCCUCUCCACAAAAAUGAAGCUAGAAUUAAGUAACAACUUCCAUGUAAUGAGAACAGAUGUGGUAGAACUGUGGAACCCAGCAUAAUUUCAGGGUGAACAGCGGCCUCAGUACCAGCCCCUUGUCUCUGCAGGCCAGGCUAAAGAAGCAGAACUGUGAGUAACUCAACUUUCC